UGACCUAGGUGUCGGGGGAUCGACCCCCUCGGUGUCGUAGCCAACGCGUUAAGUGUUCCGCCUGGGGAGUACGCACGCAAGUGUGAAACUCAAAGGAAUUGACGGGGGCCCGCACAAGCGGUGGAGUAUGUGGUUUAAUUCGAUGCAACGCGAAGAACCUUACCAGGGUUUGACAUCCUGCGAAUUUCUGGGAAACCGGAAAGUGCCUUCGGGAACGCAGUGACAGGUGGUGCAUGGCUGUCGUCAGCUCGUGUCGUGAGAUGUUGGGUUAAGUCCCGCAACGAGCGCAACCCACGUCUUUAGUUGCCAGCAUUCAGUUGGGCACUCUAGAGAGACCGCCGGUGAUAAACCGGAGGAAGGUGUGGAUGACGUCAAGUCAUCAUGCCCCUUACAUCCUGGGCUACACACGUACUACAAUGCUACGGACAAAGGGCAGCAAGUUCGCGAGGACAAGCAAAUCCCAUAAACCGUGGCUCAGUUCAGAUCGUAGGCUGCAACUCGCCUACGUGAAGGAGGAAUCGCUAGUAAUCGCAGGUCAGCAUACUGCGGUGAAUACGUUCCCGGGCCUUGUACACACCGCCCGUCACACCAUGGAAGUUGGCCACGCCCGAAGCCGUUACUCCAACCCUUGUGGAGGAGGACGUCGAAGGUGGGGCUGAUGACUGGGGUGAAGUCGUAACAAGGUAGCCGUACCGGAAGGUGCGGCUGGAUCACCUCCUAA
rnacentral:rRNA from 1 species